rnacentral:rRNA from 1 species
UACAGAGGGUGCAAGCGUUGUUCGGAAUCAUUGGGCGUAAAGCGCACGUAGGCGGCAUUGCAAGUCAGGUGUGAAAGCCUGGGGCUCAACCCCAGAAGUGCACUUGAAACUGCAGUGCUUGAGUCUUGGAGAGGGCAGUGGAAUUCCGAGUGUAGAGGUGAAAUUCGUAGAUAUUCGGAGGAACACCAGUGGCGAAGGCGACUGCCUGGACAAAGACUGACGCUGAGGUGCGAAAGCGUGGGGAGCAAACAGG